AAUAGAUACCCCGGUAGUCCACGCCGUAAACGAUGAGUGCUAAGUGUUAGGGGGUUUCCGCCCCUUAGUGCUGCAGCUAACGCAUUAAGCACUCCGCCUGGGGAGUACGGUCGCAAGACUGAAACUCAAAGGAAUUGACGGGGGCCCGCACAAGCGGUGGAGCAUGUGGUUUAAUUCGAAGCAACGCGAAGAACCUUACCAGGUCUUGACAUCCCGCUGACCGGUCUAGAGAUAGACUUUUCCCUUCGGGGACAGCGGUGACAGGUGGUGCAUGGUUGUCGUCAGCUCGUGUCGUGAGAUGUUGGGUUAAGUCCCGCAACGAGCGCAACCCUUGAUCUUAGUUGCCAGCAUUCAGUUGGGCACUCUAAGGUGACUGCCGGUGAUAAACCGGAGGAAGGUGGGGAUGACGUCAAAUCAUCAUGCCCCCUAUGACCUGGGCUACACACGUGCUACAAUGGACGGUACAGAGGGUCGCAACCCCGCGGGGGUGAGCUAAUCCCAUAAAACCGUUCUCAGUUCGGAUUGUAGGCUGCAACUCGCCUA
rnacentral:rRNA from 1 species